rnacentral:rRNA from 1 species
AGUGAACGCUGGCGGUAGGCCUAACACAUGCAAGUCGAACGGCAGCACAGUAAGAGCUUGCUCUUACGGGUGGCGAGUGGCGGACGGGUGAGGAAUACAUCGGAAUCUACUUUUUCGUGGGGGAUAACGUAGGGAAACUUACGCUAAUACCGCAUACGACCUACGGGUGAAAGCAGGGGAUCUUCGGACCUUGCGCGAUUGAAUGAGCCGAUGUCGGAUUAGCUAGUUGGCGGGGUAAAGGCCCACCAAGGCGACGAUCCGUAGCUGGUCUGAGAGGAUGAUCAGCCACACUGGAACUGAGCCACGGUCCCGACUCCUACGGGAGGCAGCAGUGGGGAAUAUUGGACAAUGGGCGCAAGCCUGAUCCAGCCAUACCGCGUGGGUGAAGAAGGCCUUCGGGUUGUAAAGCCCUUUUGUUGGGAAAGAAAAGCAGCAGGUUAAUACCCCGCUGUUCUGACGGUACCCAAAGAAUAAGCACCGGCUAACUUCGUG